UCAAAUUUUAAAUUGGGUUGAAUAAAAAUUUAAGUGGGCAAAUUUCUAUCUAAAUACAUUAGGCGGGUAAUUAAAUUUAAGAGGAAGCUGCGGGAGGUUUUCUAAUUUCGUUAUCCCGGUGCAAUUCAUUUCAGCAGCCCGCCAUUCAAUCAAGGGUUUUCUCGAUAAAAACCUAAUCUGUAAUUCAUUCCAAUUUCUUAUGAAGAAUCAAAUAAUGAAACCCACAAUUCUCUUUCCCUCAAACAAAUACGAUUUCAUGAGUGUUUAAUUGAGAAGAUGAACUUGCAAUUGGGGGGCACCAAAAAUGGCGUCUUGCUGCAUAUGCCGAUCAUCAGGAACUAACUGGUGACUUUGCCAAAAAAGAGAAGACAUGAUUUUCAUCGUUGGUGGGCUUACUUACUGAUCCAACUGAUAGAACGUGAUACUGUUGGAAAACUUCAGUGUCAUCCCUGUCCUCAUGAUUUGUUUGAUCCAUCAAGGCAAAGGGGGGCUCAUUGUGCAUUUUUUUAUGGAUUUGCAAAGGAAGCAAGAUGAGGUUUCUUAGGAGGAACAGCAGUUUGAUAUUGUGCAACAGUUGACGAGUGGGGAAGAAGAGUAAUCUGAAGAGAAAAUGAAGAAACCUGGAAUCACCACGACUGCGUUGGCGCAAGUACUGGGGGGUGGGAGUGAAAUCCAGUUUCUCGGUGUUGUGAGAUGUAAUGUUUACUUGAAGGAUGGUAAAUUCUAUGGCUUGCUUUGCUGAGUGUUAGUGUCUGCUGCAGAUUUUUAAUUGGUUCGGGUUCAUAUCAAUUUUGACCUCUUUAGGCGAAGGUGAUCAGUUCAAUUUAAAGUAGCAUAUCUUUCAUUAGCUGCUACCUACUCCUGGUCAAAGGUGAUACAGUUUAAGCCUUUAUCUCAACUUGUUUCUUUUGCAAGAUACUGUCAAGUGGAUUCUUAGUUUGUUACGAAGUAUAAUAAUUUGUGCAACCUUGUUCAAAUAUCUUUUGUAAUCAUGUCUUAGUUCAUGACUUCUAAAAGAAGAAAAAGGUAUUCUAAGAAGAAAAAAAUGUAUCCUAUGAAAAGAAUCUCACCAUGAUCCAUCUAUCAGGAACAUUUCUGCCCACCACGCAUAAAGCCUUUGUCGUUGCAAUGUAUACCUUUUUCAUGUAAUGGAUUUGAUUAGAUGCAAUUAUUUGUAUUAAGAACUUAAUUAAGUCUUACUCGGCAAGUAACUACCCACCUCCCUUCUCUUUUACUGCAAGUAACUACCCACCUCAUUUUACUAUCCGAUUUGGGUUUUCUAAUCAAUUAGUUCGUUGCAAUCAAUGAAUUUCUAGUGCAGUUGUAUUCAAUAGAAUUGGGAAAAUUUAGCAUCUAGGUAUUGUCGAUUUUGCUUUUUUUUCCGUUUAUUAUGAAUUUGAGCUGAUUAUUGGCUAAAUUAGUGUUUCAGAUUUUUUUUCUAUAUUAACACAUUGACUGAUGAAAGAGGAUCUAAUGUUUUCAUAUUAUUUUGGAUAAUGGGGUCUUUGGAGUUAUGGAUGACAUGUAAAUGUCACUCCAUAACUGUGAUUAAAUGGAGUUAUAUGGAUUUGAAGUAAUAAUUUGUAAAGGUUGCUAGCUUGACUUCUGACUUAAACCUUCUUAGUGAAUAUAGUUCGUUGUUUUCUGCUAAUAUACAGUUGCCAUUUCAUUAUGCAAUAUGUCUUACUUCUUUGCAAACAUUGUUUGUUGCUCGAUCUUUGAAACAUACUGGAAAUACUUAGACGAAUUUAAGGAUCUGCUAGCCACCUGAUUGCCCACAGUUUCUCUAGACACGGACUAUUACUCGUUGUUCAGUUUCUUAAAGUCUAUCAGAGCUUUAGGAGUAUCAAAUUCCAGAACUGUGAGAUAUAGUUAGAGCUAGGACUGCACAUUAUCUCUUAAUUUGUAUAUUUAAUUAUUAGUUUCCACUGCCUUCAUGUUAAUAAUUUCCAAUAUAUUUCAAUCGUUUUACAUAUUACCAGGGAACCUAUACUUGUGAAAGUAACAACAACGUCUACAUUGAUGUUGCUUAAAUAGUCUAAUAGAUCAUCAAACUGACGUAGCCAUAAAUUUUUGCACCUAUUUGUUCUAUUUCCUAUUGUUAUGGUCUAUCUUGUUGUAAUUGGUGAUAUGCAACAUCAUUAAACCGAGAAUAUUGUAAAUGGGUGUGAAGAUUUGAACCCAAGAUCUAAAAUUUACCACAAGAGCACAUACCUUGUAAAUCUAAACUAAAACAAAAAAGAGUCCAGGGGAUCACAUAUUUCUGUCUGUUUAUUAGUUUGUUUUAUCUAUCCAUGAAGCUGUGAAUAUGCUAUUUUAUGUUACUAUCUCGAAAACUUCCUAAUCAAUAUGCAUUCUCCAUUUCCCUUUUCUUUUCCUGUCUUUGUUCUAACUACCUGGGCAGCAUUGUUCUCAUCAGUUACCAUAGAAACCUGGUUUCUAAAUGAGGCACCGUAUCUUCAAGAGUUUUCAGAGUUGUGGUAGAAUUCGACAGUUUGCUGAUGAAAUAGUAAUUUCAGAUCUUGCUUUAUCUAAUUCAGCCUCUAUAAUAACUCUACUAGAUUCGACCUUCUUACUUCUCCUUACCAAGCCUGAAGAUACUGGUUUCUGCCACUGCAAGACCAUUUUAGCAUUAUUUUUAGCUGCAUCACCUCCAGCUGAAAUCCAUGCCAUUCGAAUGAGUUUAGUUCUUGCUCAAGAGAAAGGAUGGGGGCAUAUCAUUAUUUCUUCAGAUUGUAAAGUAGCAGUGGGUUUGAACCAAAUUGAACCUCCUGUUACGGAGCUUGCUAAUAUUAUUUAUGAUUGCAGGGCACUGAGGCAACACUUCUCAGAGAUUCACUUUCAGUUGGAGGGUAGGAAAAAGAACAAGCUAGUUGAUCAACUUGCUGGUAUUACACGUCAGGAAAGCAUGGAGAUGAAUCAGAUCAUGCAACUUCGGGAACCUACAGCUGAAUGUUUAAAAUUUUAUUAUGAGGACAUCCAUGAUUGUAGUAGUAGUAAUCUAGAAAUUAUAACGUAAUUUUAAUGCUUUCAGAACUUUGCUCUCUCCAUAGACUUUAUUGUAGCCCGUACCUUUUCUUAAUUAAAUUGCUGCCCACUUUCGACCAAAAAAAAAAAGAA